UUCCGGCGUUGACUCCAAUUGAACCGCAGGCUUCACCCCUUGUGGUGCUCCCCCGCCAAUUCCUUUAAGUUUCAUACUUGCGUACGUACUUCCCAGGCGGCAAACUUAACGGCUUCCCUGCGGCACUGCACUGGCCAAAAGCCAGUGCAUCACCGAGUCUGCAUCGUUUACAGCUGGGACUACCCGGGUAUCUAAUCCGGUUUGCUCCCCCAGCUUUCAUCCCUCACCGUCGAACGUGUUCUGGUAGACCGCCUUCGCCACAGGUGGUCAUCAAGAGAUCAAAGGAUUUUACCCCUUCCUCCCGAGUACCGUCUACCUCUCCCACUCCCUAGUUCUGCAGUAUUUCCGGCAGCCCAUUAGUUGAGCUAGUGGAUUUAACCGGAAACUUACAGAACCGGCUACGGAUGCUUUAGGCCCAAUAAUCCUCCUGACCACUUGAGGUGCUGGUUUUACCGCGGCGGCUGACACCAGAACUUGCCCACCCCUUAUUCAUCAGUGGUUUUAGAACUAACAAAAGAUUCCUUUAGCAGGAAACACUCGGAUUAACCUUGUCGUGCUUGCGCACAUUGCAAAGGUUUCUCGCCUGCUGCGCCCCAUAGGGCCUGGGUCCGUGUCUCAGUACCCAUCUCCGGGCUUCUCCUCUCAGAGCCCGUACCUGUAAUAGCCUUGGUGGGCCAUUACCUCACCAACAAGCUGAUAGGCCGCAGUCCCAUCCUAUGGCGACGAAUCAUUUGGACCAUAAACCGUUCCAGGCAUUAUGAUCUAUCGCGGAUUAUUCUCAGUUUCCCGAGGUUAUCCACGUCCAUAGGGCAGAUUGACUACGUGUUACUGAGCCGUAUGCCUUGUAUUGCUACAAUGACUCACAUGGNCUUAGUACCAAUCCGAUAGCAGUCAGGU
rnacentral:rRNA from 1 species